UAAAUGGAUCUUCCUCUUCAUCGUCCAAACCCUCAUCCAUCCUCAAAGAUUGGAGAUCUUAUUGUGUUUAUUUGAGAACAUAUAACCAAGCUUGGCCACAGAGGAUUGCAGCUGCUCGGCCUGAUUUCCUCUUCCAAGGCUGUGCUUUCCUUCCUCAUUCCAGUCCGAUGUGUGCCUACAUGGAUUUGCCUAUGUGGCUGUGGGUGUACGCGACCGUGUAUGUGUUCAAAUUAAAACGUACUGUUCAGUGUGUUUUUGUAUGCACACUUUUGCGCAAAGUUCAGCAAUCAAAGCACUUGUUUAGAUAACAGAAAAUGUGUUUCUUGCUGGCAUCGGCUCCUCCUCCCCAUCAACACCCCUUUUCUUUCUCUCAGCAGCACUUUGGUUUCCGGAGUGGCGCCAACUCUCCUGAUUUCUCCCUACGUCUAUCUAUUUUCCACCGCUCUAUCUUCACUAUCUCUGCCAGUCGUGAUUUUAGAAUGGGGUGUGACCAUAGCAGAGCAAAAAGCUGAAACAACAAACUGAGAACGCUGACACAGGCCAGGUCACCCAUACAGGGCUCAUAAGCAAGAACUGCUUGUUUGAAAGUAAGUUGGAGCUGCAGGCUUGGAGAAGAGGACUGAUGGUAAUAGAGGUCAGGGAGGUUUCAAGAAUCUAAUAAUGGAGGUUCCUUCAAGCUGAUAUUUCCCUUCAAUAAACUGCAACCUGACUGCCUUUAAUUCUCUUUUUUGUCCCUCUACCCAACACCCUCUAUGAAUAUUUUAAUUUCUCUUUAAACCCUGACACUCUUGGACUGACAUAAUCUUGCAGAGCCAGACCUAAUUUUGUCAAAUACACAGCAGUCUGGAUGAAUUUGAGUAUAAAAGUUGAUUCAAACGUAGGCAGAAAUCACAGUGGACUGUUAGAAAAGUGAGAAAAUGCAGAAGGAACUUUGUACCUAGACUACCUCGCUAACUACAUAGUAGGUAUUGUUUCCAAGUACGCACAGCUAAAAAAAAAAAUGUCUUCCUUGUUACUUAAACACCGAUUCACGGUUUUCUGCUUACGUCUAUGCAAAAUGAAGGC